GUGGGGAAUUUUGGACAAUGGGGGCAACCCUGAUCCAGCAAUGCCGCGUGAGUGAAGAAGGCCUUCGGGUUGUAAAGCUCUUUUGUCAGGGAAGAAACGGUAGUAGCGAAUAACUAUUACUAAUGACGGUACCUGAAGAAUAAGCACCGGCUAACUACGUGCCAGCAGCCGCGGUAAUACGUAGGGUGCAAGCGUUAAUCGGAAUUACUGGGCGUAAAGCGUGCGCAGGCGGUUGUGUAAGUCAGAUGUGAAAUCCCCGGGCUCAACCUGGGAAUUGCAUUUGAGACUGCACGGCUAGAGUGUGUCAGAGGGGGGUAGAAUUCCACGUGUAGCAGUGAAAUGCGUAGAUAUGUGGAGGAAUACCGAUGGCGAAGGCAGCCCCCUGGGAUAACACUGACGCUCAUGCACGAAAGCGUGGGGAGCAAACAGGAUUAGAAACCCUAGUAGUCC
rnacentral:rRNA from 1 species